GUAAAGAUGCACAUUGUGGCGAAAGAUGACAGGAACACUGCAACCAAGCUGCCAAUGGCCUGUGGGUAGCGCAGAAGGGUCAUGCUGUAGCCAAGCUUGGUGAAGAAGUUGGGCUCAAAUGCCGUGGCAGGUGAUGAGCUGCUGGGCCUGUUUGUGAAGAGACCGUGGCAGAUGCCGAUGAACCAGAUAAGGCCACUGAAGAUGGAGACAACCCAAAGGCCAGUGAGCUGAUCAGUGCGCCGCAGCAUGUGGUACAUGAAUGCGGCCAUGAGGGCUGCCCCAAUGCCUCCAAUGGCAGUGCAGUACAGGCUGAGCUGGCUG
rnacentral:lncRNA from 1 species